rnacentral:rRNA from 1 species
AGUGGAUGGGGAGCAACCUAGUUGUGAGUGUGGAAAGGUAGUGCCAAGAAAAGCUGUCAGAAUGAUGAGAAUUGAGUCCCGGUACCCGAAACCGACACAGGUGGCAAGUAGAGAAUACUAAGGGGCGCGAGGUAACUCUCUCCAAGGAACUCGGCAAAAUGACCCCGUAACUUAGGGAGAAGGGGUGCCACCGAGAGGUGGUCGCAGUGAAGAGGCCCAGGCGACUGUUUAGCAAAAACAUAGGUCUCUGCAAACUCGAAAGAGGAAGUAUAGGGGCUGACGCCUGCCCAGUGCCGGAAGGUUAAAGAAGUUGGUCAGGAGAAAUCCGAAGCUGGCGACUGAAGCCCCGGUGAACGGCGGCCGUAACUAUAACGGUCCUAAGGUAGCGAAAUUCCUUGUCGGGUAAGUUCCGACCCGCACGAAAGGCGUAACGAUCUGGGCGCUGUCUCGGAGAGAGGCUCGGCGAAAUAGGAUUGUCUGUGAAGAUACGGACUACCUGCAUUUGGACAGAAAGACCCUAUGAAGCUUUACUGUAGCUUGAAAUUGUGUUCGGGCUUCCUGUGCGCAGGAUAGGUGGGAGGCGAGGAAGGUCUGCUUGUGGGCAGGUUGGAGCCAACCGUGAGAUACCACUCUCAGGAGGCUAGAAUUCUAACUUAAUUAAGGACAGUUUCAGGUGGGCAGUUUGACUGGGGCGGUCGCCUCCAAAAAGGUAACGGAGGCGUACAAAGGUUCCCUCACACUGGUUGGAAAUCAGUGGCAGAGUGCAAAGGCAGAAGGGAGCUUGACUGCGAGACGGACAAGUCGAGCAGGGUGGAAACACGGUCUUAGUGAUCCGACGGUGCUGUGUGGAAGGGCCGUCGCUCAACGGAUAAAAGUUACUCUAGGAUAACAGGCUGAUCUCCCCCAAGAGUUCACAUCGACGGGGAGGUUUGGCACCUCGAUGUCGGCUCAUCGCAACCUGGGGCGGAAGUACGUCCCAAGGGUUGGGCUGUUCGCCCAUUAAAGCGGUACGUGAGCUGGGUUCAGAACGUCGUGAGACAGUUCGGUCCAUAUCCGAUGUAGGCGUGAGAAUAUUGAGAGGAGCCUUCCUUAGUACGAGAGGACCGGGAAGGACGCACCUCUGGUGUACCUGUUAUGAUGCCAAUCGUAAACGCAGGGUAGCCAAGUGCGGAGAGGAUAACCGCUGAAAGCAUCUAAGUGGGAAGCCCACCUCAAGAUGAGUAUUCUGGUGUAAGGUCACGGGGAGACGACCCGUAGAUAGGCACGAGGUGGAAGUGCAGAAAUGUAUGAAGCCGAAGUGUACUAAUAGACCAUCGGCUUGAUC